rnacentral:lncRNA from 1 species
AUGCGGGGAAACCUGGAGCUGGGACGAGGAGGUGGGGGGGUUAUGAUGCUCUCAGGAAGGGUCGGGGUCGCCCCAUCACGUUUGGGGUUGCUUUGUUCUGUUUGGGACGAACGAGGCAGAGUCCUCCUGACAAGCAGUCAAAAGAGGAGCAAUCCACACCGCCGCAGCCGUGGGGGAAAGGGGAGCUUCAGAGGGGAAGGGAUUUUGACAUGUGAAAAGUUAAGCAGAAUUAAAACCACUGUUUGGCUGCACGGUUCUGUUCAUUUGAAGAUGAAGAAAUCAUUCUGGGAAUCUUGAGAAAGUACCAAACUGAUGCCACCCUUCCCAUUCCGUGCUGCUGAGAGUAAAGUCCCAGCAAUAUAAAAAGCUGCUCCUAAGAAACACUGAUAUAGGAAAAGAAAUAUCAAUGUGUAACCAACUGAGACUCAUUAACUUCUUUUUUAUUAUCAACAAAAACUGUAUGUAUCUAUUUAGGACUGCAACCAGUUAAGUCAGGGGAAAAUGUUAUGUUGUGAACACAGUCUAAUCCUGUGAGACAUUAUAAUGCUAAUAAACUAUCCAUGGACUAAUUUCCCAUGAAGGAUGAUUUUAUUAAUCAAGUGAGAAUUGCAGGAGAAUUAGUAGAGAUCUAACCAAAAUACCAGUAUUUUGAAGCAUUUGUCUUCUCUAGUUUAUUUGUCAUUAUCCUUCACCAGCUCAUCUGUGACAAUCAAGUUGCAUGCCACUUUCUCACCAUAACAGUGUAAAUUUACCAGAUGUUUGACUAUAGUCCUUAGGCUUGUGCUUGCAGACUGCAGGUCUUCCUGGAAGUCAUCAGGGCUGAGAAGAUUUAAUUGCUGAGAUGAGAUGAGAUUGGUGUAUGGAAUUUAGCCAGACUAGGAACAUUUAUAAUACCUUGCACUACCAAUGACACUACCUCUGUACCUCUGUGCUCUCUUAGACUAGGAGUCUGCUCACUACUUGGUAUUUACAUUGUUAAUGUGAGGCUUAUACCUUUUGCCAUAUACCCAUAAUGGAGAGUAUGGUCAUACCAGUGCUUUAACUUGUCCUCUUGUCAUUAUUUUCUGCUUCUAUUUUAUAUUUUUGAAGGCUUUCAAAGGGCAAUAAUCCUAAAUACCUCGCAUGGAAAUGAUAAACUGCUUGUUGUGACUUUUCUUUGAACAAGCUCUCCUGCAGAGUAUCAUAUUUAAGUAAAUUGCCAUCAAGUACAGCAAGCAACACAAUCAUUCACAUUCAAACAGAACCUUUUGAUCAUAUUCUACAAUGCAAUCAAGAAUCACAUGAGAAUUCAAGUACGCACCGACCUCAUUCAAUGCUUACUAGGUGAGAGAGAAAGGAGGAUUAAUUGUGGAUGUCAACUAAUUGGCUGAUGUCUUAGAAUGUAGAAACAAACACUAGUUAUAUGUGAUACUGUAUAUAAUUGUAAAAGGCUCAAGUUCAUAGUGUUCUGCAAAUGUAUGGUUACUCACAGCUGAAAGAUUAUUAACAUCAUGUCAUGUGUCAUGUCAUCUGUCUGUCCCACCCCCCACACUCCCACCCCCAUUUUUCUCAAAUCAGAGAAAUAUUUGGAGCUUUUUAUCCACAAGGCACAUUAAGGUCACCAAUUGGGAAUAGCUAACUGAUGGGUUACUUGGAGAAACUUAUAGACUCUUCUGAACCUCAGCCAAUAAUUUAGCUGAUGGAUUUAAGGAGGGCAACAGAUGUGGAGGUGGAUCCUCUCAAAGAAUGCAUAACGAUGACAGAGCACUAUCUCUCUCUGGCCUUAUUUAAAUUACAAGUGGAACAAAUAUAAGGAGGUGAGAACUAAUGUCUGAAAAUAUCCCUUGGCUGAAAAAAAAAAAAAAAAAGAGAGAAAAAAAAGAGGAAAAAAAAAAAAGAGAGAGACAAUAUUCAUCCAGAAUUCAUGCAAAAACACACCCUGCAGCUGUAACCUUGAUCUCUGUUACUGUCACUCCUACACAAAUAGCUUUGUACACUCCUCCAUGAAGUCCCAUCUUCUUCAGGUACAUUAUUUGAACUUUCUUGUCAGGUAAUUCUCUACCCUUUUCCAAACUCAAUCUCCAACUUGCCUUUUUCAAGGCUGGUUGAUGAAAAAUAACCAAAUAAUAUUGGUUUUCUUAAAGCAUAUGUGGUAAUAACAGUUGCAUCUAAUGUCCAAGGUAAACACUUUUUGACUACAUGGUUUGAUUUUCCCUACUUUGUACUUACCAUCUCCAGUUCAGCAGGCUAUAGAUGAGAUCCUGAACUAACAAGAGUCACUAGUAGGACUCCCAUUGACUCCAAGAGCUGGCAGACUUUUACUCUGAAUUUGAGCAGCAUGAAGCUUUGACUAAUAUUUUAGUACAAGGAAAUAUUACUAAUGUGCUCUGUUUUCGCUUCUUUUCCUUACUCUUGGAUAUUUUUUGUGCCAGUUUGGGAACAUCGUGCUUUGAGCUUUAUCCUUCAGGGGAUAGGAUGGUAGUUUCUACCAUCCUGAAUCCUAAAUGAAAAUGAAGAGAACAGAAGGAUAUAUUUCAUAAAGUAUGUUUCCUUCCAAUGGGUAUUGAAAUACAGCUGUAAAGGAAAG